GAGAGAGAGAGAUGCAAGGAAGAAAGAGGUAAAGAUAGAGAGACAUAAAUGGAGAGAAAGAAAGGUAGAAAGGUAGAGAGAUGCAGGAUGGAGAGAGAAAUGGGAGAAAAGUUGUUAUGAGAGAUAAGGGUAAAAUUGGAAUUAGAAACUUGUCUCUCUCCUCCACAGAGUUGACUAAUGGUAAAAACGUGAACAUUUGGAUGGAGGGAUUACUUAGCAGACGGAGCGACUAGCAAAUAAUGGGAAAACCUAGAGACUUUAUAGCAAUUGACCCUUGCAUUUUUUAAUUGAGUCUAACAUGGUAAGGACCAUUUGUGAAGUAAAUAACUUUUGAGUAAAUUAGAAAUAACAACAACCAGGGUGUCAAGGGGAUUUUGCAAUUUAUCCAAAAUUUUUACUUCUUGUUGAAAAUUGAGGACUAAUAUUGGACAAGACCCAAAUUUGGAGGCUAAUUGACCUUGACCCCAUUUUAUGUUUCGAAAAUGAGAAACAACUGUCCACAAAAUUUGGCCCAUCUAUUCUUGUAUUUUAAUCCAAUCACAAAUACCUCAGUAAUUGUGAGGUAGGUGAAUGGUCUGACAAUCAUCUCAUUGCAUAAAUUGGAAGAAAUGUUUUAGAUUGCAUUGAAAGUAAUCUUUAAACAGCUUUAAAAUAUGAAAAAGCACCAAAAAAUUAUAAAAAUGUUGUCAAAUUAUUUGAUUGAUAUUUUUGUUUUUUGUUUUUUUGUUUUUGUUU
rnacentral:misc_RNA from 1 species